UACGGAGGGUGCAAGCGUUGUUCGGAAUCACUGGGCGUAAAGGGCGUGUAGGCGGCCCGCUAAGUCUGAUGUGAAAGCCCGGGGCUCACCCCCGGAAGUGCAUUGGAAACUGGCGGACUCGAGUCCCGGAGAGGAGGGUGGAAUUCCUGGUGUAGCGGUGAAAUGCGUAGAUAUCAGGAGGAACACCGGUGGCGAAGGCGGCCCUCUGGACGGUGACUGACGCUGAGACGCGAAGGUCAGGGGAGCAAACGGG
rnacentral:rRNA from 1 species